GUUUGGGUAUCUAAUGUGACUGCUAAUUAUUAUCCUAGUAUUUUAAAAACUGUGACAAGAUACAAGAGCUUUGAACAUACUUGAGAAACAAAGCUUUGAAAUGUUAUGAACCUUUUAUAUAUCUAAUAUUCACAUUUAAGGUUUUAGAACUGGUUACAAACAGGCCAAAGAAUAAGACCUGCAUAUUUUACAUAAAAUGCUCAUUCUUGGACCAUCAGCAUAUGUCAAAAACCUUAAAAAUGAUCAUGUCCUCUGACCUAGCAGUUCUGCUACCAAAAAAAUGUAUUAAGGAAAUAAUGGGAGAACUAUAUAAAGAUCAGUAUGCAACAGUGAUGUUCAAGAAGUUUUUUAGUGAAACAAUAGAUACAACCAAAGUUUCAAAAAAUAGAGCACUGUUUAAUAAAUUAUGGUAUAAUCAUUUAGUAGACUACUUUGGGUCUAGAGAGUAUGGAUAGAGAGUCUUAAGAAGAGGUGAGAAGGGAUACAGAAGACUUAGAUGUAGCACAGUCACCCCAGAAAGACUGUUCCUAACACUGAGUGCCAAAAUACUCAACAUGGGUGGGGCUGGGCAGUUCAUAGCACUGGCUCUAGGGAUGUAAGGAGGGCUGGAAGUGGGCAAUCAGAGACUCUCCUCUGCCUUAGGAAGGACCAGGUAAGUAGGUAGAAAUGACAUACCCCUUAGAGAUAAAGCAAUGAUGGGAAAGAAGGAAAUAAGGGGAACAUUAAAGAUUCUAUAGAAAAAGAAGCGAUAUAUAUCAGCCUCCUUCAUCUCCCACUAUCCAUUAAAGAAACUGUGCAAAGAGGGCACUUUCAAACUAUGACAUGACCAGUAGUAGUAAAGAGCAAACCACAUCUUUAUAAAACUACUGUAAAAAAGUGUGAAUUGGAUCAUUUCAGCUAAUGAAAAUAUUUCCCAGAAAAUUGACCACAAAGCAGAAUAAAAUUGUAACAUAAUAGUCUAAUCUGAAUCAGAUAUUUUCAUAGAAGCAUGGGAGGGUGUGAAAAAUCAUGUUUAAUCAGAAAUAAUAAAAACAAAGAGUCACAUGAAUCCAAAAACCCCACAAAAAAAAAUGAAACUACUGCUAAUUUAACUCAGGAUAGCAGUAGAAGAAAAAAACAACCAUAUCAAAAAUCAAGACUAAAUUACAUAGUACCUGCAGAAGAAUAGGUUCAUAUUUAAAUUUAAUAAAAGGCAAUGAGGAAGAGCAUUAAAAUAAGAGAAAGAAAAUGAGAUAAAGGAGUAAAAAGGAUUAGAGAGAAAGUGGUAAAACUGAAAGAUAGGAAAAGUAGAAAUAACACUCAUUUUUAUCAGAGUCCUUGAAGCAGAAAAAUCAAAACACUGGAACAGAACUAAAUACUUAAAAUUGUAAUCUAAGAAAACUUCCUGAAAAUGAGAGAAAGUCUGAAUUUACAUAUUAAAAAUGCUCAUUGGGUGCAGGGGAAAAUUGAUUAGGUGUAGUGAACUCCAAAUUUUAUCACUGUAGUACUACUAGACCUUAAAUAUUAAAAAAAAAUUCUCAGACCUUGCAGGCAAAACAUGAAAAUAAUUUACAAGGGCAGGAGAAUUAGACAGUUGUCAGAUUUUUCAGUAGCAUAGCAGUGUGGGGCAGAGUUUUCAAGAAAUAUAAGAAUAAAAUACAAAUUAAAUAUUUUAUAUUCCACCAAGAUGUCCAAGUAAUCAUGGUUAUAAAAAAUGUUUUAUCUAUGUUUUUGCACAUAAAACUGUAUACGUAGGCCCUUCCUGAGAAAUCCACUACAGCUGCCCUGUCCAGUAGAACUUUCUGCAGUGUUCAGAAUGGUCAUGGCUUCGCUGUGCAAAUUGUAGCCCCUGGCUACACGUGGCUUUAAUAAGCUCUUGAAAUGUGACUAGUAGCAUAGGAACUGAAUUUUUAAAUGGCUCUCUGUGGCAGGUGGCUGCCUUAUUGAACAGCAUAGUACAGAAGAAUAAAUUUAACCAAGAGGAUGACUAGGGAAACUGGCAAAGGGCUAAUGAGCACAAGCUCUAGGCAUGCAGGCUUCAGUAGUUGUGGAGUAUGGGCUUAGUUGCUCUGCGUCAUGUGAGAUCUUCCUGGACCUUCCAGAGAUAGAACCUGUGUGCCCUGCAAUGGCAGGCGGAUUCCUAACCACUGAACUACCAGGGAAGUCCCAAGGCAAAUAACUCUAAAUCAUAAAUCAUUAAAUGACCAAAGCAAGUUUUGAAAUUGUUUGUAUUUUGAGCUUUUGUUAAAAAGUUGCAUACACAUGUGUAUCUUUGUGUUUAAAUAGGCAUAGAAAUAAGCUUGAGAAGAUAAACACAAAACUGUGUUGUUCCUUAGGAAGUAGGAUUUCUCCAGAACUUCUGCAUUAUACUUCUUCGAUUGUUUACUUUGAGAUCUGUGAGCAUUUUUCAGCCACAAUGAUGCUAUAUUUCUUUUGUCUUUACUGCUGUUGAAUAAAGAGCUUAAAGGUAGGGACCAUGUGCUA